rnacentral:lncRNA from 1 species
GGGAGGAGGAGGAGAAAAGUAUAAAAGGACAUCUUCCUGCUUAAGGAAUUACUGGUUGGCAAACAUAACGACUACUAAUUCUAGGUACUCAAAAGGAAAGCAAAUUACCUCUCUGGGCUUAUGCCACUUGUCAAACUCCUGGAUGGAUUCAUCGACUUUGGGCACUCCUUAGAAAUUCUUGAAGAAUUUGCCCAACAAUUCCUCAACCACAUCAUCAGAUAUUUCCUCAACUAACAUCCGUGACGGAUCAUAAAAACCUGAGUACUCAUAACCCCAAGUCCGGCACAG